AGUGAACGCUGGCGGUAGGCCUAACACAUGCAAGUCGAACGGCAGCACAGUAAGAGCUUGCUCUUACGGGUGGCGAGUGGCGGACGGGUGAGGAAUACAUCGGAAUCUACUUUUUCGUGGGGGAUAACGUAGGGAAACUUACGCUAAUACCGCAUACGACCUACGGGUGAAAGCAGGGGAUCUUCGGACCUUGCGCGAUUGAAUGAGCCGCUGUCGGAUUAGCUAGUUGGCGGGGUAAAGGCCCACCAAGGCGACGAUCCGUGGCUGGUCUGAGAGGAUGAUCAGCCACACUGGAACUGAGACACGGUCCAGACUCCUACGGGAGGCAGCAGUGGGGAAUAUUGGACAAUGGGCGCAAGCCUGAUCCAGCCAUACCGCGUGGGUGAAGAAGGCCUUCGGGUUGUAAAGCCCUUUUGUUGGGAAAGAAAAGCAGCAGGUUAAUACCCCGCUGUUCUGACGGUACCCAAAGAAUAAACACCGGCGAACUUCGU
rnacentral:rRNA from 1 species